UUUGAAAGAGGCUCCGAUUCUGUUGGAAGGGGCUGUGGGUUUGGAGGAGAGAGAUGCAGCCAGCCUUAGACGCGGAAUCUCGGAGGCAAUGAGCCAAUGUGAGCUGGUUCACUUCAGAAUAGUGCAGCCGUGCUAAGCGAGGAGCUUGGAGCCGCAGCAAGGACGCAGCUCCAGUGAAGAGGAGCAGGGCCGAGCGGAGCUGAGUGGCUGCUGCCUGGAGCUCUGCUCAGCCCUGAGGCCCCCACCGAGUGAGCGGCAUGCGGGCCCCCCAGGCCAGCCCAGCACCCUGCAGCCUGCUGCCCAGCCCUCCCAGGAGGCCCUGACACCCUGGGGCGCUUCCACGCUGUGCAGGACCACGCGGGGGGUUGCCAUGGUGACAUAAAGGGGUGCAGCGGAAGGAAGGAGCGCAACCAGCCUGCGGACUGCGCCCCUGGCUGGGGGGAGGCACGGGCCCGGUCUUC